GCGGGCAUGGCGGGUUGCAAGGUGCUGUCGUAUGUCGUAUGACGCGUCGUGUGCGAGUUUGUGAAACGUGAGGAACGCUUCAAGCGAAAGCCGAACUACGCCAUAUCCAUGUAUGCGCUCGUUCGUUAUAUAGACGAUAUAGUUAGUCGGUUCUACACGAUUCCUGUUGCACACAUCAAGGACUUUGAGCCUACCAACACGUCGGACUUCGACAAAAAGAAGGUGUAUUAUGCUUUUUGGGAAGACGAGGAGUCUGCCGGGUACUACAAGGCGCAGAUAUAUAUGCUGGGAGAAACUGAGAGGGAAAUAGUGGAAAAACGGCAGAAGAAACGUAUGGCUAAGCCACCACUUGAUGACGAAUAUGAAAUUGGGGACCCACCCAUUGCAAAGAAGCAAAAAAAAUGAUGGCCAGCGUGUGCGGAAAAACAGGGCUGCUGCUCAGCAGGACACGUGGCAGGACAUUCUCCGGGAACAUGUGCCGGAGUCAAAGAAAAGAAAGGCUCGGAUACAUGAAUCCGAUAUAGACUCGGUGAGCAGCAGUGACUGUUUGGUAGCAGCUGACGAAGUCAAGAAAGCGGAAGCUGAAGCAACAUUUUGGCGACGUCGCUAUGAAGCAGCAGAAAAGAGGUCCCAGCUCUUGGAAACUAAAGUCAGCAACCUUGAAGAAUGCCUGCAUUCGAAGAUGCUAUUAAUGGAACCAGCCAUAGAAAGAUUCCUGCAAGCUGCAUCCCGUUUGCCUGAGACCACAACUG